rnacentral:misc_RNA from 1 species
AACGCAUAUUGCGCCUUAGUCUCGACGAGGGCAUGUCUGCCUCAGCGUCGGUUUAACCCCUCAUUCCAUUCCCCCUUGCGGGAAAGCGCUUUGCCUUGCAAAGCCUUGGAGUGGAUCUGGCUUUCCCAACUGCGCGUCCAAAGCGCCAUUUGGGUUGGCUGAAGCUUAGAGGCUAGAGCUCGGACCCGUAUGGGCUUACAACUGGAUAGGUAGACGGCCGCUUCGGCGGCCUCAACUACACGUGUUGUAGCCUGUGGUCUUUGCUGGCGGCCAAAGCAGGAAAAGCUGCGUCUUCGGGCAAGGCUUUUAUUAAACAUUCGACCUGAGCUCAGGCAAGGCUACCCGCUGAACUUAA